UACGUAGGGGGCAAGCGUUGUCCGGAUUAUUGGGCGUAAAGAGCGUGUAGGCGGCUUUACAGGUCCGUUGUGAAAACUCGAGGCCUCAACCUCGAGACGCCGGUGGAAACCGUAAAGCUAGAGUCCGGAAGAGGAGAGUGGAAUUCCGUAGUGUAGCGGUGAAAUGCGCAGAGUAUCAGGAGGAACACCCGUGGCGAAAGCGGCUCUCUGGGACGGUACUGACGCUGAGACGCGAAAGCGUGGGGAGCAAACAGG
rnacentral:rRNA from 1 species